rnacentral:rRNA from 1 species
UACGUAGGGUGCAAGCGUUAAUCGGAAUUACUGGGCGUAAAGCGUACGCAGGCGGCUUUGCAAGACAGGUGUGAAAUCCCCGGGCCUAACCUGGGAACUGCAUUUGUGACUGCAUGGCUAGAGUUUGUCAGAGGGGGGUGGAAUUCCACGUGUAGCAGUGAAAUGCGUAGAUAUCGGGAGGAACACCAGUGGCGAAGGCGACUACCUGGCCUGUUCUUGACGCUGAGGCGCGAAAGCUAGGGGAGCAAACGGG